rnacentral:rRNA from 1 species
CGGCAACAGCUCAAAUUUGAAAUCUGGCUCUCGGGCCCGAGUUGUAAUUUGUAGAGGAUGCUUUUGGUGAGGUGCCUUCCGAGUUCCCUGGAACGGGACGCCAUAGAGGGUGAGAAUCCCGUAUGUGAUCGGUCGCCUUCGCCCGUGUAAAGCUCGUUCGAC